AUCAUAUAGGAGAACCUCUUUUGCUACUAUUUCUGUCGACCAACCUGAGAUUCAAGCCGCCAACAUAAACAAUUCUACCGCUGCCGCUUCCGAUCGACCUGCCCAUUCUUCCCGUUGCACUUCUAAAUCCGACACUGCUCCUCGAGUUCUUCCGCCGCCGCUGAACUUCCAGCACUGUUGCCGCAUCAAUCCAGAGCUCAAGAAUCAAGUUUCAGAAUUGAAGGAGCUACAGAUUAUCAUAUAACUGCAACAAAAAAGAAUAGAAGUAGCCCACGAUUAAAAUAAGAAGGAAGAACGUAAGAGCUUACCACAUCAAAAGUGGUAUAGCAUCUCCAAAAUAGUUAAGGAUCUUUAUUUUCAUAAUGGGGACAUCAUCAGACAAAAGUUGGAUGAAAUUGUAUCGAUUUGGUCCAGAGUAUAUUCAGGGG